AUGGUUGAGCACCAAGAAAGCACACCUGCCCUUCACUUCCUCUUCCACUACAAACAGAAACACAUCAUCAGCUCAUCCAUUACAAACAUGGCUUGCCAUCAAAGAUCUGCAAGUUUGCCUUCUAUCGCCCACUCCAGUGAAUCCACAGUGGAGGUGGAGCUGCAGGGCCUGGAGUCAUGCAUCUCUUCACCCUCCGCAACCAUCGACACGAUGUGUGAUGGUUACGCAAGGCUUGGAGACAUCUACAACUGCAUAGAGGAGAUCAUGGGCUUGCCCAGCAACCAAGUUGGCCUCUCCUUCCCCCAAAACAAGAAAAUGGUGGAAGAGGAACUGGAGCGAUCCCUCGUGCUGAUUGAUCUUUGCAAUUCCAUGCAAGAGAAUUAA
rnacentral:rRNA from 1 species